rnacentral:rRNA from 1 species
AUUGAACGCUGGCGGCAGGCCUAACACAUGCAAGUCGAGCGGAUGAAGGGAGCUUGCUCCUGGAUUCAGCGGCGGACGGGUGAGUAAUGCCUAGGAAUCUGCCUGGUAGUGGGGGAUAACGUCCGGAAACGGGCGCUAAUACCGCAUACGUCCUGCGGGAGAAAGUGGGGGAUCUUCGGACCUCACGCUAUCAGAUGAGCCUAGGUCGGAUUAGCUAGUUGGUGGGGUAAAGGCCUACCAAGGCGACGAUCCGUAACUGGUCUGAGAGGAUGAUCAGUCACACGGGAACUGAGACACGGUCCAGACUCCUACGGGAGGCAGCAGUGGGGAAUAUUAGACAAUGGGCGAAAGCCUGAUCCAGCCAUGCCGCGUGUGUGAAGAAGGUCUUCGGAGUGUAAAGCACUUUAAGUUGGGAGGAAGGGCAGUAAGUUAAUACCUUGCUGUUUUGACGUUACCAACAGAAUAAGCACCGGCUAACUUCGUG